rnacentral:rRNA from 1 species
UACGUAGGGUGCGAGCGUUGUCCGGAAUCACUGGGCGUAAAGGGCGCGUAGGCGGCCUGGUAAGUCGGGGGUGAAAUCCUGCGGCUUAACCGCAGGGCUGCCUUCUAAACUGUCAGGCUUGAGCACAGUAGAGGCAGGUGGAAUUCCCGGUGUAGCGGUGGAAUGCGUAGAGAUCGGGAAGAACACCAAUGGCGAAAGCAGCUUUCUGGGACGGUACUGACGCUGAGACGCGAAAGCGUGGGGAGCGAACAGG